GGCCCGUUGGUCAAGUGGUUAAGACACCGCCCUUUCACGGCGGUAUCAGGGGUUCGAAUCCCCUACGGGUCACCA
rnacentral:tRNA from 7 species